CAAAAGUUUACUUUCUUUGAGAAACCCAGUUCCAAAAGAAGUGCAAUUCCAGUGGGUCAUAUCUGAAGCUUCUAAAGAUCCAAUGGUUGGUGAAUUCUUAAUGAAAUUAGUUUGUACUGAAAAACAGAGGCUGAAAAGUGUUUGGGGAUUUAGCGCUAGUGAAAAUGCACAAGCUUCCUCUUACGUCAAAGAACCAAUUCCAUUAUUAAGGAUUACGGAUAAUGACCAGGAUCAUUGUGAUGUCAUAAAGUGCAAAAUUUGCUCUGAGACGUUUCCAGAUGAGCAAGUGCUUGGCACACACUGGAUGGACAGCCACAAAAAGGAAGCCCAAUGGCUUUUCAGGGGCCAGCCUGGUGGGAGGACAACAGGGGCUCCUCGUAG
rnacentral:misc_RNA from 1 species